rnacentral:rRNA from 1 species
UACGGAGGGUGCAAGCGUUAUUCGGAUUUAUUGGGCGUAAAGGGCGUGUAGGCGGUUUGAAUAGUCAGGUGUGAAAGCCCUUGGCUUAACCAAGGAAGUGCACUUGAAACUUUCAGACUUGAGUACGGGAGGGGGAAGUGGAAUUCCUGGUGUAGAGGUGAAAUUCGCAGAUAUCAGGAGGAAUACCGGUGGCGAAGGCGACUUCCUGGACCGAUACUGACGCUGAGACGCGAAAGCGUGGGGAGCAAACAGGAUUAGAUACCCUGGUAGUCCACGCCGUAAACGAUGGGCACUAGGUGUAGCGGGUAUUGACCCCUGCUGUGCCGAAGUUAACGCAUUAAGUGCCCCGCCUGGGGAGUACGGCCGCAAGGUUG